AGAUCGGCUUAAAUUCAACGGGCUGUGAACUUGUCUGCUACGCUAACGGGCUCGCAAGUGAUAUACCAGGAGUUUUGCGGGCCCUGGAUCGUAAAUAUAUUUGUUUACAUCAAUUAAGACCGUCCAGUAUCUCAACACAAUACAGCAUGUCCAGGGCGCCAAUAUCGACGAUUUCAACCUGCACUGAGAAAGGAGAGAAUUUUUAUUGGGAGACGAAAGGCGAGUGAGAGUUGAAAUGGCCACGACGCAUCCUGUGCUGAACUUCGCCCGUUUGCACCCCAUGGCGCCGGCGAGCAUCCCACAAGCCGAUCCUGGGUACGACAUCGAAUCGUGGAGCGAGAAAAAUGCAAGAGAUCUUGGACUGGAGGAAAAGAAAUCUGCAUUGAAGACCCUGUUUUAUUGGUAAAGUUAGGUAUCUUAAAAACUGGAAAGGAAA